rnacentral:rRNA from 1 species
UACGUAGGGGGCAAGCGUUGUCCGGAUUUAUUGGGCGUAAAGAGCGUGUAGGCGGCCAGGCAGGUCCGCUGUGAAAACUCGAGGCUCAACCUCGAGAGGUCGGUGGAAACCGUUUGGCUAGAGUCCGGAAGAGGAGAGUGGAAUUCCCGGUGUAGCGGUGAAAUGCGCAGAUAUCGGGAAGAACACCAGUGGCGAAGGCGACUUCCUGGCCUGUUCUUGACGCUGAGGCGCGAAAGCUAGGGUAGCAAACGGG